rnacentral:rRNA from 1 species
CAGUCGCCGCGGUAAUACGGAGGGUGCAAGCGUUAAUCGGAAUUACUGGGCGUAAAGCGCACGCAGGCGGUCUGACAAGUCAGAUGUGAAAUCCCCGGGCUUAACCUGGGAACUGCAUUUGAAACUGUCAGGCUGGAGUCUUGUAGAGGGGGGUGGAAUUCCAGGUGUAGCGGUGAAAUGCGUAGAGAUCUGGAGGAAUACCGGUGGCGAAGGCGGCCCCCUGGACAAAGACUGACGCUCAGGUGCGAAAGCGUGGGGAGCAAACAGGAUUAGAUACCCCUGUAGUCCCUGUCUCUUAUAA